UACGAAGGGAGCUAGCGUUGUUCGGAAUCACUGGGCGUAAAGCGCACGUAGGCGGAUUUGUCAGUCAGGGGUGAAAUCCCGGGGCUCAACCUCGGAACUGCCUUUGAUACAGCAAGUCUUGAGUUCGAGAGAGGUGGGUGGAAUUCCUAGUGUAGGGGUGAAAUUCGUAGAUAUUAGGAAGAACACCGGUGGCGAAGGCG
rnacentral:rRNA from 1 species